rnacentral:rRNA from 1 species
CAGCCGCCACGGGAAUACGGAGGGUGCAAGCGUUAUCCGGAUUUAUUGGGUUUAAAGGGUCCGUAGGCGGAUCUGUAAGUCAGUGGUGAAAUUUCACAGCUUAACUGUGAAACUGCCAUUGAUACUGCAGGUCUUGAGUAAAUUUGAAGUGGCUGGAAUAAGUAGUGUAGCGGUGAAAUGCAUAGAUAUUACUUAGAACACCAAUUGCGAAGGCAGGUCACUAAGAUUUAACUGACGCUGAUGGACGAAAGCGUGGGGAGCGAACAGGAUUAGAUACCCCCGUAGUCCCUGUCUCUUAUAC